UACGUAGGGGGCAAGCGUUGUCCGGAAUCACUGGGCGUAAAGGGCGCGUAGGUGGCCUGUGGAAGUCUGCGGUGAAAGCCCGGCGCUCAACGCCGGGUCGGCCGUGGAUACUCUCGGGCUUGAGCUUACUAGAGGCAGAUGGAAUUCCGGGUGUAGCGGUGGAAUGCGUAGAGAUCCGGAAGAACACCGGUGGCGAAGGCGGUCUGCUGGGGUAAUGCUGACACUGAGGCGCGACAGCGUGGGGAGCAAACAGG
rnacentral:rRNA from 1 species